rnacentral:lncRNA from 1 species
GAUGUGAUAUGUGAUAUGUGAUAUGUGAUUAAGUAAUGUUGAGCUCAUAAAGCUGCACCUAGGGUGAUUGUGAAUUAGCCAGAGAUAUGAAGUACAUGCCUGUUUAUUUACAUCACCUCCCGCACUAUAUGCUUAUAUUGGAUCCAACUUAUGUGCACAGUCUUGUCGUACAAACCUUAUUAUGGUUUCGACUCGUAGGUGACUAGCGAUUUAUCGCCCGACUAUUAUGAGAGAAUAGAAUUGAGCAUAAUUAUAUUUCACCCAAUCUUGUCGUACAUACCCUUUUCAGUGGUUCCGACUUAUGUGCAAUAUAUUGCCAUAUAGGUCAUAGUAGUGACUCCGGCUAGAUUGAGUUUGAG